UACGGGGGGAGCAAGCGUUGUUCGGAUUUACUGGGCGUAAAGGGCGGGUAGGCGGCCACCGCAAGUCGGGUGUGAAACCCCGGGGCUCAACCCCGGAACUGCAUCCGAUACUGCGUGGCUAGAGGUAGGUAGGGGAGAUCGGAAUUCCUGGUGUAGCGGUGAAAUGCGCAGAUAUCAGGAGGAACACCGGUGGCGAAGGCGGAUCUCUGGGCCUUACCUGACGCUCAGGCACGAAAGCUAGGGGAGCGAACAGG
rnacentral:rRNA from 1 species